rnacentral:lncRNA from 1 species
GUUCCUUGAGAAAGUUUACCCGCCGGGCAAGGUCCCCGUGCUGGAGCACAAUGGCAACGUCAUAGCAGAGUCCUUGGAUCUGCUCAGCUACCUGGACGCCAACUUUGAGGGCCCCAAGCUGCUUCCCCAGGACGACCCUGCAAAGCAAGCCUUUGCCGAUGAGCUGAUCGGCAGCAGCGACCCCGUCAUCGUAGCCUUGUUCAGGGCAGGCCGUGCCGCUGCCGGUGCCGGAGGAGAUGAUAUCGGUGAGCUAGUUGCGCCUGCUCUUGACAAGGUGGAGGAAGCCCUGGGGCGUUUCUCUGACGGGCCCUUCUUCCUGGGGCAGUCCAUGAGCG